GCACUGUGCUAGACUCAGGCAAUACAAGGAUGGACAAGAAAGAAAGCAUCCCUGCCUUCAUGAAACUCACAGUCUGAAGUCAAUAAACAAAAAUUUCAGGAAGAAGCAUGCAAUUUUUGGUAAUUCAAUGAAAUAUAAAGAUGAAUCAGAAGUCCGGUAUAGAAUGCAUCAUCCAUUGGUUCUGGAUUUAACAUACAAAAUCCGUAAAAGAACUGAAAUGUUCUGAAGCUUGAAUCUCUCUCAUGCAGUUAUUCUGUUGGAUGAAGUGGCAUUUCAAAUUUGCUCACUCAGAUUUGGGACAUUAGUCUCAUUCUGAAGCACACCAAUGCUUCCAGAACUACCAGCAUGCUGUAAUGAAAGGCUAGUAACACAGUCAGAAGAGGAAGCAAGGUUGGUUUGACAUGACUUGCUCUUGAUGCAUAAAGCUUUGGUGCUUCCUUGUCACCUGAUACUAUAAAUAACAUUCCAAACUUUUUAAUAAAAUGUUUUAUUCCCUUAUGUGGGAAUAUUAUUAACUAGUAAA
rnacentral:lncRNA from 10 species